UGUGCAUUCAGUGGCUAUUGCUACCAGCUUGUCACUUGUAAGAAUUAGUCAUUGAUACGGUUGCUAAAUAUGAAUGUUAUUCUAUGGCUUUACUCUCACAUCAGGAGUGUGGUGAUUUAAUUUAACCUGUAUUUUCCCCAAAGGAUUCUUUCUUUUAUCCAGUCUAUUAUUUCAGCUGUAGUGAUUCUUGUCAUCCGGUGCAGAAAAGUACCCCCUCCACAUGAACAGCAAUGGUUGUCUUAAUUUGGCCUCAUGCUUUGAUACCAAUUUGGCCUGAUAAAACCCUAAUACAGUCAUUCAGUAGUCAUAUGGGAUAAAGGACUGAAAAGUCUUGCUUUCAGGAAACCUUUCUCAACUGGCCCAAGAAAACUAUUUGUUGCCCCUUAGAGUGUGGGUUUCAUUAUGCUUGGUAGAGAGAUCAGCUCACUGUGAACCCUUCCAACUAGUACACCAAAGGGAAGUUGAAUGCAGUGAAUCAUCAUAGAAAACUCCUAUUCAGUCUCUGAUCUCCAAAUGUAAUGUAAACAAAGAAUGUAAGUAAACAUAUGCGUAAUUUAAUAUUUUCCUGCAGGCCUAUGAUUGUUAAUAAUAUGAAGUGGCUCACCACUAGCCAACUGAAAGAAAAGGUUCAGGAACACAAGUGCUGCAGGGUAGGACUAAAUAUAAGCGCAUGAGGGUCUAGAGAAUAUUUUAUAAUCUGACAGACAAGCUGAAGAGCUUCUGACGCAUAACUGGAGGAGAACAGCUGCAUGGAAUGGCCUGUGAUGCUGUAACUUCCCCAGCUCCAUGUGUGUCAGAAAGAAAUACAGUUUCAGUCCUGAAGUAUAUGGGUUGCUCAGUGCUAAAAUGAGUUUCACUCAUUACCUGGAGAGUUCUUGAGCAUGCAGUAUGUAUCCUCCCUUUUCAAAGCAAGAAGAUGAAGAAAGCUGGCAAAGUCCAUUUUUCAGAGCCAGCUGCCAGCUGUCAACCUCUGGGGCCACCUGGGCACAGAGGGUGUCUGAGACACGGCUGCUGACCCUUCAGCUCUGCUGGCAGCAUUCACCCUCCUGCCACCUACGCCCCUGCAUGUCACCAGCUGCGUCCAUCACAUACACAAGAAGCCACAGGAAUACACGGAAAUCUUUUGCUGCAGCCUGUGCAAUUUUUCCAGACAACACCAAAAAUAAAUGUGACAGAGGGCUCACAUCUGCAGUUGCAUGAGGUUCAGCUCCCUACAUUAUUUGAUGAAAAAUCCAGAAGAAACCUUAUGCAGGGAUGGUGAGGACAUAAGUAGGAGAGCCUGCCAGAAAGAUUUAUGUGAAACUCUCUGUCUCUUUCAGGCCAGUAAGCACUAUCUCAGUAUUUAGGUGACAUACACACCUGUCUGAGAAGGCAUGGAUUGAAACUGAAUGUAAAGAAACAGCACGGAAGUGUGACAAAGUCAUCUCCCCUGUUCUUUACUGCCCUCCAGUUACUGAAUCUGGGAACCAAGAACUCAGAACUGGACUGAGAAUAUCAUAAAAGCACUUGGAGGACUGUGUCUGGAGAGGCUGACAGAGCAUGCGCUGGAUCUCCAUUACAAUCUGUGCCUAUUCAGGGCAAUCAGUCCAUCACAUCAGCACCAGUGUGUGUGGGAAACCCCAAAGCACCUAGAUUAAAGAGCAAAAUUCAGUAUUGCUUUCAUAGGACUCAAGAGUAAGUUUUGUCCUAAUGUAAUAUGUCUCUAAUAAAUUAUAGACUUGAAUGCAAGGAGAGUUAAUUAACAUUUAAACUGAAUCUUCUGCAUGACACAAGCCAAAGAAUUUCAAAACAAAAAAUUAUGCUGUGUGGAAGUAUAUAAUGUGAAAAACAAUUUCUUGAAAAGGUGUUCAGAUUAUGUACUAAUCACUGGGUUCACAAGAGCAAUAAAAUGAUACUUUCUCCAAAAAAUGUACAUUGCAGCUUCCAGAAGAGGACAUACUGCUCAACACAUUAAUUCCAUAAUAUACGCAUUACAUGCCUGAAAUGACCUAACUGAUUCUACCUCUUACUACUAACAGCUGUAAAUGUUGAAAGAUAAUUUUCCUCAACUUAUCAAUGAAUUAUAUGUUUUAUUCUCAUGAGUUAGCCUCUUAUGAUGUAUUCAUAAUUUACAAAGAAGUACACACAAAACAAAUGCAUUUGUUUACAAUGUUAUAACAAGCAUAUAAUAUAUAUAAAACAUAUAGCAUGUAAUUUUUAUAUGUUGCAAGUUUGGAGAGAUUUUCUGGAAUUACACUAAAAUUAUAAGAAGAAUAUUAAUUAGGAGGAAUUGUUUGAAUUCUAAACCUGAUUCACCAUCUUCAUUGACAAUAUGAAGUGCCUGAAUAUUUGAAAGAAAGAAAGAAAAUUACAAUAUCCUUAAUAAACAUGCUUUGGGAAUAGUAUUAAGACUAACUCAAGUCUUUCAGCCCUUGCUAAUAAAAUUUAAUUCAUUGUUGUAUGAUUUAUCAGCUUCUUUAUGAAUCUUUGUUUUAUCUCUGAGAACAGUAAGUAUAAUUGGAAUUAUCACUGCCUGGCUCCUGUUUUGCUUAGUUUACAAGCCUUGUGCUUCUUUGAUACUAAGUUUCUGUGGCUAAGUUGGAUGAGGCAGACAAAAGACCUGGCUCUCUGUCCCAAAACUGAUUUGCAAUUCACAGCCUCUCUGGUGUUCACAGCUGAGAAGAGACUGUACUGAGAAGAAACCUGUACGUUAACAAUGAAAGAAUUCUGUGUGUCGUCUUAUUUAUUCUGUAGGUGAAACAUAUUUUUUUGCCACCAAUACCAUAUGGUAAUAGUUGCAAAGAUAACUAGAAGUAUCACCAAAGAAGCCUGUUUAUUUCUGAGGAUCAGAAGAAAAAAGUUCUUUAGUCAUGGGACUCCUGGUAGCAUUCCUAAGACUAUUUUGGUGUAUGCAUGGGUGAAAAGCAUGACUGGAGGAUAUGUAUGGUUAUGGUGACAUCGCAAUAGUUUGAGAUUUCAACAGGCUUACCAAAAGGAAGAAAACUGGUAAGUGGGUGUCAUUUGGUAAGUCUGCUUGACACACAGGCUUUUUUUAGUCUGUGAUAUUCUCUCAACAAUAUUUGAUAAUUUGCCUUUUUGGUAGAGGACCUGGUUAACUCAUGUCUCAAGGACAGUAGAUAUUUCCCGUUGGACUUCAUUGCUUGCGUAGGGUGGGGACUGACUUUAUAGGUGGUAGAUAAGACCCAGUGCCCCCAGGUUUUUGAAUAGGUGAGCAGUGCCAGUGAUACAAUUUUAGCUUGGGGGAAGUUUUCUGUUAUUCCUGCAAGCUCCAUUUUAAGGAUUCAGUCAACAAAGUAGGCUACACAAGUAUAUUUUGUAAGUAAUCUGGGGUGCUCUGAGAAAUCCCUGGAACACCUCUGCUUGCCUUAAGCAAAUUGAUGCAGGCAUAUUUGAAUGGAAUGCAGUAGAUGCAGCUGCAUAUAAGAGGGUUUUUUUGGCUUUUUUAUGAUCUGAGUACAUGUGAGUAUGAUCCUUGAGAAUUUCAUAUUUUUCAUAGGCAUUUUACUUAACAGACAUGUUGUUUCACUUGUCAGAGCUCAUAAGAGAACUUGCUGCUUGUGGGUAUGAUGUGAGUGAGGAAGUGUUGGGAAGACAGACUCAUCUUCCCUGAGUAGUGGUUUGUUGCUGCCAGUUUGUGCCAUCGGAUCCUUCUGGAAUCAGGAUUUUCGAGGGAAGAGGUGACUUAGCUUACUAUGUGGCAAUGAUGGGUUGAUUUCAAUGUUUGGCACUAGGAAAUGACAUCACAGACAAUAUUUCUAGAUCACAGCCAAAUACGCAGUCAAGUAUGUUCAGGUUUGCACCCACGAUCAAUAGCAACUGGUGAAAAACCUUCAGUGGGAAAGAAAGGGACUAUUUUUGCAUUUGUAUUCUCUGUGGAGAUGUUAAAUCUUUGAGAAAAUUAAAUCUUGAUAAGUCCUUCAGGUUUUGCUGUUCAGGAAAUGCAAGCAAAAUUCAAUUAAUAUUUUAGGCUAUGUGUUUACAGCACAAUGCACUGCACGAGGUUAGAGAUGCUGAGCUUGCCAUAUACUUGAGAUUGUAUAGAAAGAUAGACAUUAGGUCAUGUGUCACUAGCUUGAGAAUCUUUGCACAGUAUCGUGCAGAGUCAACAGACUGGAAAGGGAAGUCAGGCAGAGUUCCAGUAUGCAGCUUCAAAACAGUGAACCUGAAGAUUCUUGCUCAGGUGCUGCUUAAAUCCCAAAGGCCCCUUGCAGGCUUACUUGAAAGCUCCCAAGCUGCAUGUCUGCUUACAAGGAGGAUAUUUGCUUUGUAAGAAGGAGUCCUUGUUUCCGUCUCCUCCUCCAUUCAAGGCUGUUACUGUGUUUUACAUUAAACAGUCACUGGAUAAAAUACAGGACUAAAGACAAAAGUGCACAACCUUCCAAGUAAAAGCUUACACUGGUAUAAUGGUUUGUGCAGCUGCAUGACCUCAAAGUUUAUAGCACUUUUUCCUCCUGUAGUUAACCAUAACAAAUGUUAACACGAUGCAAAUCUACCCUGAUACAAAAGUAAGGACUAGCAUUUUGACUUGAAGCUGGCAGAGUAAUCAAGUAUGUUUUAUUUUAUUAAACUGAGCUGCCCCAGGAUCUAGAAAAAAAAUCUAAUAAAAAGGCAAAAGGCACAGAAGGUAAGAUUUUAUUUGAUAUGAAUAAAAUACACAAUGAAGUAAAGCAAUGCUGAUAAUUUAAUUUACUGAGGACCACUGUGUAGGUCAUUCAUGGUUUAAUUUUCACAUACUAAUCAUAAAUUCACUGGCAUUGCCUCUGUGUCUCUCAUUAUUAUAUCAUAACAUCUGCUAAAUUAAUUUCCCGUCCUUCUCUAUUUUAAAGUUAAUCCCCUAUCUAUAGAAACCAUGUUUAUAUUACAUACACACACACAAUUCAUCGCUCUUUUAAAUAUAUAGCAUGUAUAUUUAUAAUAUAUGUAAUCAAAUAAGACUUGCAAAUCCUAAAAUAACUCAAGCUGUUUUACAACAUUGCCUUAAACUAUUAGAACCGUAUAGUAAAGAUCAUGCUAACUAAUCAUGAGCUCACUAACAUACUCUAAAAGACUACCAUUGAGAGAGCAAAUUACGUUGAUCUGUAAUGCUUUAGUUCAGUGCUAACUUGAAUAACAAUCUGCACAAAGCUACAGGCAGUACCGUGUCCCGCGUACAUAUUAAUAGCUACAGAUCCCAUGCUAGCUGCUGGAAAUAGGCAAUAGCUGUCAUGGCAACUCUGGAACUUCUAAUAUAUUAUUAAAUGUUUAUAUUGCAGUGGCAUAAAGAGACUCAGACAAUGGAAAGACACUGCCUUUCCAGAUGUCUCUAGAUGUUUACCUUCCAAGGGGACAGAAGGUGCACAAAUGCUGUGUGAAUAUAAUGCCAGUAUUGAACUGAAUUUUACUUGCUAUAAGAGUAAAGAUAUAAACAAAUAAAUUAAAAUAAAAUACAUUGUGCACUAAAGCAGUAUUAUUGUACUGCAGGUAUUGUAAGAAGAUAAGAGAGCCAAGCUUCAAAAUCAGGUUUAGCUUAUGCAAAGUUUCUACAUACUUAUUCCAGCAAGAGUUAUAAUCACUUGGUUGUGUCAAAAUUAAGUCCUAAUAUAGUAAAAGGCACAGCUCUGGAAAACUAAGAUUUACAGCUCUGAAUGUCUGCUUACAUCUGUGGUGAAUUUGUUCUGUUGCUCUUAUAUUAUCUUAGCAAAUAAUGACUGUCGGACCCUGACAACUUACCAUCGUACCAUUAGUUCAGCAUGGGGUCACCCAUGUCCGCCAUAACACAGAAAUAUCCACAAAAUAAAUGCUUGUCAUAAUAACUCAAAACUGAAGUGUUUGCUGGUGCUUUAUUGCCAUAAUAUAUAUUCACUUUUUCAUCUCUUCUCUUUGCAUAAACAAUGACACUUUGAUAAUCUCUUAAUUUCCUCCUUCCCUUUAUCUUUCCUGUACUUUGGAUUUUUUUAUAAAAUAAGCAUCACAGAUGUGUCUGGGACAAUUGUUUAAUUAAUGGAUGCAAAUUGAAUAAAGGAUGUUACAAAAAAAGAUUUCAAAACUUGCUGCUUGCGGACAAAAUUCAAGACCGAGUUUUACGAAGUCCCCUAUAACAUUUCAUGGAUUUCCUUCUGUAUUUUGAGUUCACAUCUCUCUGAUGAACACCCCCGUGUUUCUCUAGCACAAAAAGGAUCCGUCCCUUCCAGAACUGGGCAACACUUUGAAUUCAGAAGCAAGCUUUUGGAGGCCUGGUCUUUUCUCCCCUAUGGAAAGAAGGGAAGGUCAAUGGAAAAGGUAUAAAGAGCUUUCCUGAUGUGUUUCCUCUCAUAGCUUUCUCUUGGUUUUAAUGGGAGGGAACUUGAAGGAAGGUAGAGAGAACGAAGCUCAUGUUUUCCAAGCAGCAUUGGAACAGAGCGGAUGACAGGAGUUACUGACUGGGAAGCUACUCCAAGGGAUGGAAGAAGAUAUUUGCAAGGAACUACCCUUCUUGCUUAGCACAUAGGUAUUGGUUUUGAUCAACUGCAGAAGAGAUGGAGCUGAGUUUUAGCAAGAGGCCUCUGAACAAUGUCAAACUAGCAUGUUAAGCAGCCAUGCCAGAAAACUGCAGGAUCUACGGUCUGCAUGUUAAUUGCCUUGUCACCCUACAGAAAACUGCAAAGGUACUCUCACCAGAGCCAGUCUCACACUAAAACGCUGACAACGUUCAUACUCCCACAAGAGGGCAGUAGGCAAGCACAGUACAGGAAAACCCCUUUGCACUGGAUUUUAUUUAAUAUCAACCUUAUAGUUCAAUUCUACUUAUUAAUCAUAGGGAAAUCCGUACAAACUGUCAGAGUAAUUUAAUGCAUAAUAUGAAAUGAAUCCCAUUUUACAGCUACUAUACUGAGAAAUUACUUUUUAGCUAAUUUGUACUCAUAAUUACAUAAGUUUAAACAUAAGUUUAUGCCUUCUGGUAUCUUUCACCUGUGUCCCGAGAUGUGAGGUGCUUUGCUAUCACAGUUGUAAAUAAAUAUUCUGGGACGCUGUCCCAGCAUAGGAAAUUCAUGUAAGCGAAAUGAAGCACUUUCUGAAGCAAAGAAGACAAAAGAUUGAUUGUCUAGCUACAAAUCAGCCUGGUAAUCUCCCAUGUGGUACCCUUCCCUGCCUGAAGCUCUGCACGUUACUGCAGUUCCUCCUGAUCCAUCUCCUGCGGCAGGCAGGACCACCCUCAGUCACCCCCUUCACACUGCUCCAGCCCUAAACAUCAUGGCAUAGAAAGGUAGAGAGCAUCUGCACUGGUGGAGUGACACGGCCUUGCGAGUCAUCUCAGUGUGACUUGCUGGAUCUUACCCUCUGUCCACCCAGGCAGCACGAAACUUCUGCAGCUGUAAGACUUUUGAACAAAGAAAAUUUUUUCUCAGCACAAGUGGCAUCUAAGGCUGCCUUUCCCACAUGGGCACUCUUAGUACACGAAAAAAAGGCCUUUGUGAAGGGGUUUCACUCCCAUUGUCUUUUUGGCCAUCAUUUGAACCUACGAGAGGCAACCUUCAUAAUAAAAUACCUGGGCAUUUCUUACCAGCAUGUGUCUUAUUUUCAAAAUAAUUAUACAUUUGGGAUUUUCUGUGCUGAGAGAAAAGUUUGUUCCAAAGAAGUUAGAUGGUUUUGGAUGCUUGCAGUUCUAAAGCAGCUGUGAACCAUGCCUAGUUGAACGUCAUCUGUUCGCAAACAAGACUGUGUUUUCUUCUAUAUAGAAGUGAGCUGUUUCAGCAAUGUUUAAUCAACCAGCACUGACCUUUCUUCUCAAAUGCCACAAAUUUGUUUUCCAUAAAUGUUUAACUACUUAUUUCUAAAGGUAAAGGUUCACCACAUGUAAAACCUACUUUUAACCUUACACUGAUUUUGUAGUUACCACACAGCAUGGUUGCUGUAGGGCUGCAUAUGUGUUUUAGGAGGUGAAAAUUUUUCAUCUGUAUUCCAAACGUCUUAUGAUACUUGUGUUAUCUCCUUUCUCAUUUUGCUUAUGACAUCUUUCUGUAUUGUCCUAAGAUAUGUGAAAAUACUGACAAAGAGGAAAAAAAUUAAGCCCAUAGUAUAACACUGUCUAAGCUGGUGA